CCUACGGGCGGCAGCAGUGAGGAAUUUUCGGCAAUGGGGGCAACCCUGACCGAGCAACGCCGCGUGCAGGAGGAAGGUCUUCGGAUCGUAAACUGCUUUUCUCUGGGAAGAGGAUGGACGGUACCAGAGGAAGAAGCCCCGGCUAACUACGUGCCAGCAGCCGCGGUAAUACGUAGGGGGCGAGCGUUGUCCGGAGUUACUGGGCGUAAAGGGCACGCAGGCGGUGGCGUCAGUUUUGGGUUACAGCUCCCGGCUCAACUGGGAGAGCGCCUCGAAGACGGCGCGACUUGAGAGCCAGAGAGGGACACAGAAUUCCGGGUGUAGUGGUGAAAUGCGUAGAUAUCCGGAGGAAUACCAAAGGCGAAGGCAGUGUCCUGGCUGGUUUCUGACGCUGAGGUGCGAAAGCUAGGGGAGCAAACAGGAUUAGAUACCCCGGUAGUC
rnacentral:rRNA from 1 species